UUUCCUACGGGAGGCAGCAGUAAGGAAUAUUGGUCAAUGGACGCAAGUCUGAACCAGCCAUGCCGCGUGCAGGAUGACUGCCCUAUGGGUUGUAAACUGCUUUUAUACGGGAAGAAACCCCUCUACGUGUAGGGGGCUGACGGUACCGUAAGAAUAAGGAUCGGCUAACUCCGUGCCAGCAGCCGCGGUAAUACGGAGGAUCCAAGCGUUAUCCGGAUUUAUUGGGUUUAAAGGGUGCGUAGGCGGAUUAUUAAGUCAGUGGUGAAAGCCUGCAGCUUAACUGCAGAAUUGCCGUUGAUACUGGUAAUCUUGAGUACAUUUGAAGCGGGCGGAAUGUGUCAUGUAGCGGUGAAAUGCUUAGAUAUGACACAGAACACCGAUUGCGAAGGCAGCUCGCUAAACUGUAACUGACGCUGAGGCACGAAAGCGUGGGGAGCAAACAGGAUUAGAUACCCUGGUAGUCCACGCCCUAAACGAUGAUUACUCGAUGUGUGCGAUAUACUGUACGCGUCUAAGCGAAAGCAUUAAGUAAUCCACCUGGGGAGUACGAUCGCAAGAUUGAAACUCAAAGGAAUUGACGGGGGCCCGCACAAGCGGAGGAGCAUGUGGUUUAAUUCGAUGAUACGCGAGGAACCUUACCUGGGCUUGAAAGUUAGCGACCGGCUGAGAAAUCAGCCUUCCCUUCGGGGCGCGAAACUAGGUGCUGCAUGGCUGUCGUCAGCUCGUGCCGUGAGGUGUUGGGUUAAGUCCCGUAACGAGCGCAACCCCUAUCAUUAGUUGCCAUCAGGUAAAGCUGGGGACUCUAAUGAGACUGCCUACGCAAGUAGUGAGGAAGGUGGGGAUGACGUCAAGUCAUCACGGCCCUUACGUCCAGGGCUACACACGUGCUACAAUGGCCGGUACAAAGGGCAGCUACAUGGCAACAUGAUGCUAAUCUCCAAAACCGGUCUCAGUUCGGAUUGAGGUCUGCAACUCGACCUCAUGAAGCUGGAUUCGCUAGUAAUCGCAUAUCAGCAAUGAUGCGGUGAAUACGUUCCCGGGCCUUGUACACACCGCCA
rnacentral:rRNA from 1 species